rnacentral:rRNA from 1 species
ACUGCUCAGUAACACGUGGACAACCUACCCUAAGGAGGGGGAUAACCCCGGGAAACUGGGGAUAAUACCCCAUAGACUAGAGAAGCUGGAAUGCUCUCAAGUCCAAAGGUCCGCCGCCUUAGGAUGGGUCUGCGGUCGAUUAGGUUGUUGUUGGGGUAACGGCCCAACAAGCCCGUGAUCGAUACGGGUUGUGAGAGCAAGAGCCCGGAGAUGGAUUCUGAGACACGAAUCCAGGCCCUACGGGGCGCAGCAGGCGCGAAAACUUUACAAUGCGAGAAAUCGUGAUAAGGGAACCCCGAGUGCCCGUAAAUUCGGGCUGUCCGCCAGUGUAAAUAACUGGUGAAGAAAGGGCCGGGCAAGACCGGUGCCAGCCGCCGCGGUAAUACCGGCGGCUCGAGUGGUGGCCACUAUUACUGGGCUUAAAGCGUCCGUAGCUGGAUUGUUAAGUCUCUUGGGAAAUCCACCGGCUCAACCGAUGGGCGUUCAGGAGAAACUGGCAAUCUAGGGACCGGGAGAGGUGAGAGGUACUCCAGGGGUAGGAGUGAAAUCCUGUAAUCCUUGGGGGACCACCUGUGGCGAAGGCGUCUCACUAGAACGGCUCCGACAGUGAGGGACGAAAGCUGGGGGAGCAAACCGGAUUAGAUACCCGGGUAGUCCCAGCUGUAAACGAUGCGCGUUAGGUGUAUCGGUGACCACGAGUCAUCGAGGUGCCGAAGGGAAACCGUGAAACGUGCCGCCUGGGAGGUACGGUCGCAAGGCUGAAACUUAAAGGAAUUGGCGGGGGAGCAC